rnacentral:rRNA from 1 species
UGAGUACGAGAUGCUACGGCAUCGAAGCAGUCUAUGUCAUACUUCCAAGAAAAGCUUGCACUGUCAUAAACAAAGAAUGCCUGUACCAUAACCGACACAGGUGGGUAGGUAGAGUAUACUAAGGGGCGCGAGAUAACUCUCUCUAAGGAACUCGGCAAAAUGACUCCGUAACUUCGGGAGAAGGAGUGCCUUAUUUCUAAGGUUGCAAUAACAAGAUCCAAGCAACUGUUUACCAAAAACACAGGUCUCCGCUAAGUCGUAAGACGAUGUAUGGGGGCUGACGCCUGCCCAGUGCCAGAAGGUUAAAGAAGUUGGUUAGCAUUAGCGAAGCUGAUAACUGAAGCCCUGGUGAACGGCGGCCGUAACUAUAACGGUCCUAAGGUAGCGAAAUUCCUUGUCGGGUAAGUUCCGACCCGCACGAAAGGCGUAAUGAUUUGGAUACUGUCUCGGAGAGGGGCUCGGUGAAAUAGACUUGUCUGUGAAGAUGCGGACUACCUGCACCUGGACAGAAAGACCCUAUGAAGCUUUACUGUAACUUGAGAUUGAAAUUGGACUUUAUUUGCGCAGUAUAGGUGGGAGGCGUUGAGAAUAAUCUUGCGGGAUUGUUGGAGCCAUCAGUGAGAUACCACUCUUGUAAUGUUAGAUUUCUAACUUUGUAUCAUUAUCUGGUCAAAGAACAGUUUCAGGCGGGCAGUUUGACUGGGGCGGUCGCCUCCCAAAGGGUAACGGAGGCGCACAAAGGUUUCCUCUGAACGGGUAGAAAUCGUAUCUAGAGUGUAAAGGCAUAAGGAAGCUUGACUGUGAGACCUACAAGUCGAGCAGGGACGAAAGUCGGUCUUAGUGAUCUGACGGUGCUGAGUGGAAAGGCCGUCACUCAACGGAUAAAAGUUACUCUAGGAUAACAGGCUGAUCUCCCCCAAGAGUUCACAUCGACGGGGAGGUUUGGCACCUCGAUGUCGGCUCAUCGCAUCCUGGGGCGGUAGUCCGUCCCAAGGGUUGGGCUGUUCGCCCAUGAAAGCGGUACGCGAGCUGGGUUCAGAACGUCGUGAGACAGUUCGGUCCAUAUCCGGUGUAGGCGUUAGAAUAUUGAGAGGAGCCUUCUCUAGUACGAGAGGACCGAGAAGGACAUACCUCUGGUGUACCAGUUAUCGUGCCAACGGUAAACGCUGGGUAGCUAUGUAUGGAGUGGAUAACCGCUGAAAGCAUCUAAGUGGGAAGCCCACCUCAAGAUAAGUAUUCUCAUAAAGAA